GGGGCGUUGGCGCAGCUGGUAGCGCGUCUGGUUUGCAACCAGAAGGUCAGGGGUUCGAACCCCCUACGCUCCACAA
rnacentral:tRNA from 1 species